rnacentral:rRNA from 1 species
AACGAACGCUGGCGGCAGGCCUAACACAUGCAAGUCGAGCGAGACCUUCGGGUCUAGCGGCGGACGGGUUAGUAACGCGUGGGAACGUGCCCUUCUCUGCGGAAUAGCCACUGGAAACGGUGAGUAAUACCGCAUACGCCCUUCGGGGGAAAGAUUUAUCGGAGAAGGAUCGGCCCGCGUUAGAUUAGAUAGUUGGUGGGGUAACGGCCUACCAAGUCUACGAUCUAUAGCUGGGUUUUAGAGGACGAUCAGCAACACUGGGACUGAGACACGGCCCAGACUCCUACGGGAGGCAGCAGUGGGGAAUCUUAGACAAUGGGCGCAAGCCUGAUCUAGCCAUGCCGCGUGUGUGAUGAAGGUCUUAGGAUCGUAAAGCUCUUUCGCCAGAGAUGAUAAUGACAGUAUCUGGUAAAGAAGUCCCGGCUAACUCCGUG